GCGGAUUUAGUUCAGUGGUAGAACACCACCUUGCCAAGGUGGGGGUCGCGAGUUCGAAUCUCGUAAUCCGCU
rnacentral:tRNA from 1 species